GGCUUUUCCUCCGCGCUGUCGGCCAUGUUGCUUCGUUCGCCCGCGGCGCGUGCGGGCGCCUCUGUUUAAAAACAAGGCUUUUUCUUUCUCCGAGGCGCUUUAAGCGUGGGGAGGGAUGCAGGAAGCCAGGCCAAGCUACGUGGCCGUGGGGUUCGCGUGGAGGCGCUGGAGCAUGGCGUCCUCUCCAGCCGCCACUCUACGGGUGCCGCGCGAGUCACCGCGGGACGGCGCAUCGCGCAGCCAUUGGCCGAGCGCUCCGUUUCCGAUCCUGAACCUAAAAGUUUGGAAGUUUUCCCAGUCACCUCCCGCGAUCGCUCUGGUCGGACACCACCUCCUCCACCACCCCUGCCUCGGCUCGCAUUUCACCUUACAGCCCCAGUCGCCUUACCUCGGGCGCCUUGUUGCACUGGCGGGAACGCGGAGCACCGCGAGGACAGAGCAGAGCUUUAAAUAGCAGGGCUAGGAUCCAACUGAUUCCCUCAACCUCCUGCCUCAGUUUACCAAAGCGCCCCGAGGCGUGUUUCGCCACUAGAUCGAUACACCUUGUUCUGGUUCACCUCUCU
rnacentral:lncRNA from 1 species